GUAUUGAUUGAGACAUUUUGCGCUGCAGAACUGAAGCCUUCUUUCCCCGUCCCCAAAAUCCAGGUAUUCUUUUGUAUGCCUUAUGUGCUUACACCAGUCACAUACCUACAACACAGCAAUAGAAACCACAACAGCAUUCAAGCCACACAGCAUCACAGAAGGAACUGUGAAACUCAGCACCAACGUGAGAUCACUGAACUCUCCCUCGGCAAUGAAGCGACGGUUCCAGCGCUGUUCUGCAGGGGACCUUGAUUUGGAAGAGUGUCUGUUCUAUUGCCGUGUGCGUGCAUGUGUGUAUGUGUCUCUAACAAUCAUAAACUGAUGUCAUUAAAAGAUGAUAAAUUUCAAUAAUUAUUGGUCACGUACACAAUGCCCAAACAACAUAUGCUGGGCAUUUGAUUACUCAUCUCAUUUAACUCUCAGCUUCCCUCGUUUGUAAACAGUGCUGCCAUGCGGGCAUGUGAUUUUGGGUGCACAUGAGGCAGAUGUGGACUGCAUGUAUAAAUCCAGUCUUUCCCUUCUCAGCUUUUUUCCGCCCAUUGAUAUUUUUGGUUGAUAAACUUGACAGUGUGAGACUGAAUAACAUAUAUGCUUUGGCACACAUCAGUUUUUGUUUGUCCUUUCAAAAUAUUUUUUUUCCAAAAAAAAUCUGUGAUAAGGACUCUCCUGAGUGGACUUUGAUGAUAAGGGAAUUCCUUUAACAUGGCUAUCAAAACUGUUGCCGACAUUAAAGUGGUGGAAACAUAA